AUUGAACGCUGGCGGCAUGCCUUACACAUGCAAGUCGAACGGUAACGGGCCUUCGGGUGCCGACGAGUGGCGAACGGGUGAGUAAUAUAACGGAACGUACCUUUCAGUGGGGGAUAACGUAGCGAAAGUUACGCUAAUACCGCAUAUUCUGUGCGCAAGAAAGCAGGGGAACUUGGGGCCUUGCGCUUCUCGAGCGGCCGAUAUCAGAUUAGCUAGUUGGUGAGGUAAAGGCCCACCAAGGCGACGAUCUGUAGCGGGUCUGAGAGGAUGAUCCGCCACACUGGAACUGAGACACGGUCCAGACUCCUACGGGAGGCAGCAGUGGGGAAUUUUGGACAAUGGGGGCAACCCUGAUCCAGCCAUGCCGCGUGAGUGAAGAAGGCCUUCGGGUUGUAAAGCUCUUUCGGCCGGGAAGAAAUCGUAUGGGCUAAUACCCUGUGCGGAUGACGGUACCAGCAUAAGAAGCACCGGCUAACUACGUGCCAGCCGCCGCCGUAACAC
rnacentral:rRNA from 1 species